GAGGGAAACGUUACUGAUAAUAACUGGAUAAGUUAGUAUAUCGCAUGAUAUGCAAAUGAAAGCUACGGCACUAAAGGAGAGCUUUGCGUCCUAUUAGCUAGUUGGUAAGGUAAGAGCUUACCAAGGCGAUGAUAGGUAGCCGGCCUGAGAGGGUGGACGGCCACAAGGGGACUGAGAUACGGCCCUUACUCCUACGGGAGGCAGCAGUG
rnacentral:rRNA from 1 species